GAUGAACGCUGGCGGCGUGCCUAAUACAUGCAAGUCGAGCGAACGGACGAGAAGCUUGCUUCUCUGAUGUUAGCGGCGGACGGGUGAGUAACACGUGGAUAACCUACCUAUAAGACUGGGAUAACUUCGGGAAACCGGAGCUAAUACCGGAUGAUAUUUUGAACCGCAUGGUUCAAAAGUGAAAGACGGUCUUGCUGUCCCUUAUAGAUGGAUCCGCGCUGCAUUAGCCAGUUGGUAAGGUAACGGCUUACCAAGGCAACGAUGCAUAGCCGACCUGAGAGGGUGAUCGGCCACACUGGAACUGAGACACGGUCCAGACUCCUACGGGAGGCAGCAGUAGGGAAUCUUCCGCAAUGGGCGAAAGCCUGACGGAGCAACGCCGCGUGAGUGAUGAAGGUCUUCGGAUCGUAAAACUCUGUUAUUAGGGAAGAACAUAUGUGUAAGUAACUGUGCACAUCUUGACGGUACCUAAUCAGAAAGCCACGGCUAACUACGUG
rnacentral:rRNA from 1 species